CAGCGCUCUGGUCAACUUCAGACGGGCUGCUCCCGGAAGACCGUGGCGGCUUAACCAGAACGUGGAGACCCGGCUUCCACGGGCCCGCCUGCCCGCCCAAGCUUCGCCCGGUUAGGGGCUGGGCGGGGCUGUGUUAACCUCUCAUCGCCUCCGCACUGGCCGCCAGCCCUAGGACCAGCAACGAUCCCCUGCGCUCACCAACCAACCGAGUCGGAGUCCUGAGCCUCUGUUCCCCGGUCACGGGAGAUGGCUGGCCCGGCAAGCAGAGGGGGAGCCCACCUCUGCGGAGUGGCUGUCCUGCAGCCCCCAAGGGCUCCUGGAGCGUUAGGGGAGCUCCAUGCACUGACAUGCCCCUUCCAUGGCAACAUCUAGGUUCCGCAUCAGCCUCCUUGCAUCACCAGCAGCUCCCUGGAGGUCCAACACCUAAACCUUCCAACCCAGCUGUCCCGGGAAGCCAAUCUGGAAUGGCGGGGCAGCCUCUCGUUCUUACUGCAGACUCACCUCCUCUGUCACCUGACGAAACAGGAGCCCCACAGCCGAGGCCUCUCACACUGGUCCAUAAACCUGGGACCUGACUCUCUGAGGAACUGACCCCUUAGUAACCACUGUGUGCAGCCUCAGGUGUUCUGAGCCUGCUGCAAUGUGAGAAGCUGUUUCCUUUAGCCCUUCCACCCUCACCUGUCCUCUGUGGAUCAGAGGCUGAGGUCUCCCCACCUGUGCCCCACUGGGUCCUUAACUCAGACAGGCGUUUUCGGGACCCGGACAUAAGCACACACAUUCCUCUCACUCCCCGCCUUGCAGCCUCAGACUUCCCUGGUCUGUGGACACAACUGUGAGCACUGGGUUCCGUAAGCCACAUAAUGGCUUUCCAGCUGGCUUUCCCCCUCGUGCCUGUAGAUUUUAGAGUGGACAGAGAAGUGAUUCUAUAGUAUCUCACUGAAAAACAAAAAACAAAACACUUCCCUGAACUCCUUGUUCCAGAUACCACCCAAUUCCUCAGCUGUGCUUCAGAGCAAAUUCUCCAGUUAUCUCUACUGUGUCUCCACCCCCUCUCCCUGCUCCCCUUCAUCCCGCUCACACCCAUCUUUUGUCCUCCACAGAAACUCCUCUGUCCAGGUCUCUCUGCACUGGCUUUCCUGUCAGCCCCUCCCCCACACCCAGCAGCAUCCAGCCCCAUUAGUACCUCCUUUUUCUUGCAGCGUUUACUUCCCUUCCUGCCUCCUCUGACCUAGC